rnacentral:lncRNA from 1 species
AAGUUUUCAAGUCUUUUUCAUUAGUUUUCCUUAAAAAUUCUUGUUUACUCAAUUUUUUAUUGUUUUGAUUUGAUUUGUGGACAAGGAGGGGGAGAACAACUAAGUGGGCCAAACAUUCUAAACCCAUAUCAAGGUGAGCCUUGCUCCUUGGGUUGCUUUGAGAGGGAUUUUAGUAAUUAUUCAAUUUUUCUUCUAUAUUAUGUACCAAUGAAUGAUACGAAAAAUGAACAGCUGAGAUUAAAAGUAGAAAAUCUAAUAGUUAUAAAAAUAAAAUCUAACGACUAAGAACCAAUUACAACAUUGGACGCUUUUUUAGUCUGUUCAAACUAUUUAGGGCCUUAAGCUUUCAUUCUGCAGCAAGGUCGUCCAACUUCAUGUUUUCUGGUAUGACUAGCUUACUAACUUAUCGAAUUCGAUUUACGCAAGAAAUUCAAUGGUGACAAGAGAAAACAAGGAAGAAACAUGAGGAUUGUGUGGUCUGGUGUUAGUCCUGUUGUGCUAGGAUAGCACCAAACCUUAUGGAACCAACUCAGUCUAACCCACAGGAAAUUUAUCAAAUGAAAAUGCAAGAACAAUAUAGAAAAGACACCAAGAUUUUAACGAGGUUCCUCCACAGUCAGUGUAACUGGAGUACGUCCUCGGAGCAGUAGGAGCUCACCCAAUAAUCCACUAUCAACCAAAUGGGAGUUUACAAAGUGUUGGCAAUCUCACAACCCAAAAGCCCAAUACACCCAAUAGCUCUCACACACCAAAGAAACAAAUAGAGAAAGAAAUAUAAUGAAUAAUUUCUUCUCUAUACAUAUAGCUCAAGGCUAUUACUACAACAAUUACUUUGGUUGAUGAUUACUAAUCAAAUGAAGCAGCAGCUUCUUCUUCUGUUUGGACUCACUGCAACUCUCCCUUGCUCUCUACAAAAAGAGCUCUUGGUUCUCUCUUGUUUUUAUCAAACCGAAAUGAGCUCUCAUUCUUUUCUAUUUGCUUCAAAGGCAACUUGUCCCCAUAUUGAACCAACACCCACGGGUGUUGAAGAGAACAAAAAACCUUUUCCCUAUUUUCCUCCCCAAAACAAGGAAAGGUGUUGUCCACCUUCUUUCUUUAUAAUUUUUUUAUAGCCAAAAGUUGUUUAGAUUUUUGUGUAGCCGAAAGCAUUUGCAAGUUGGCCACUAUCCAACAAUCUCCACCUUGGCCAAAUUCCGAAAAACGCCAUGACAAGCCAACCAACACAAUUGAUACACAACAUCACUCCUAAACACUAGCAAGAGAACAACUCAUGCCGAGCCAAUUGCUCCAAAACUCCUACUGCUCAACACCUUCUUUAUAUAGGCAUAAUGUGAGCCAAGUUCAAACAGUGAACAAACUUGGCUACACCAACAACCUUAGUCAACAUAUCAGCGGGGUUGUCUUUCGUUGGAAUCUUCUGGAGAAUGAUUUCCCCUUCACCAACAAUUUCACGAACAAAGUGAUAACGCACAUCUAUGUGCUUGGUCCUCGCAUGAUGAACCUGAUACUUAGCCAAAUAAAUGGCACUCUGACUAUCACAAUGUACCUCCACCUGCUUCUGAUCAACCCCCAAAUCUCUAAUCAGCCCAUGUAUCCAAAUGGCCUCCUUUAUAGCUUCAGCAACUGCCAUAUAUUCAGCCUCUGUAGUAGACAAGGCAACAGACGACUGCAAAAUGGACCUCCAACAAACUGGCCCUUUAGCCAUAGUAAACACAUAGCCUGUAGUAGACUUCCUUCCAUCCAGAUCACCUGCAUAAUCUGAAUCAACAUAACCAACUGCAAAAUGACCAAUACCAGAGUCAUCCCUCUCAAAACAUAAACCAACAUCUCGAGUACCAUGGAGAUAUCUCAAUAUCCACUUAGCUGCUUGCCAAUGCUCUUUACCUGGAUUAUGCAUAUAUCGACUCACCAUGCCAACUGCAUGAGCAAUAUCCGGUCUAGAGCAUACCAUUGCAUACAUCAAACUACCAACCAAAUUUGCAUAUGGUAUAUUUUUCAUUUGCAGCUUCUCUUUAUCAUUUUUAGGACAUUGUAGAGAACUCAAUUUAAAAUGAGGAGCCAAAGGGGUACUAACCGGUUUGGUUGAAUCAUGAACUCCAAACUUCCGAAUCAACUUCUCAAGGUAUUGUCUUUGAUUCAAACUGACAAAACCCUUUGCUCUAUCUCUAGUGAUCUCCAUGCCAAGGAUCUUCUUCGCUUCACCAAGAUCCUUCAUCUCAAACUCAUUCUUCAUUUGUUUCUUCAAUUUCUCAAUCUCUUCAACAUUCUUUGAGGCAAUCAACAUAUCAUCAACAUAUAUCAAUAAAUAAAUGAAAGACCCAUCUUGCAACUUCUUGAAGUACACACAAUGAUCAUAUUGACUUCUAGAAUAAUUUUGGCCUCUCAUAAAUUUAUCAAACCUCAAAUACCAUUGCCUUGGAGAUUGCUUCAAGCCAUAAAGUGAUUUCUUCAAUUUGCAAAACAAAUUUUCCUUCCCUUUCACUAUAUACCCAUCCGGUUGACACAUAUAGAUCUCUUCAUUCAAAUCACCAUGUAGGAAAGCCGUCUUCACAUCGAGUUGCACAAGCUCAAGAUCAUAUUGUGCAACAAGAGCUAACAUAAUACGAAUUGAGGAGUGUUUCACAACUGGAGAAAAUAUUUCAUUGUAGUCAAUGCCCUCCUUUUGUGCAUACCCUUUAGCAACUAAUCUUACUUUAAAUCUCACAUUGCUUUUCUCAUCAGCAUCUUCCUUCUUGGCAUACACCCAUUUGCAACCAAUAGCUUUCUUGCCCUUAGGCAAUUUAGCUAACUCCCAAGUCUUGUUCUUCAAGAGAGAAUUCAUCUCAUCACCCAUGGCAUUGCACCACCUAUUCUUCUCCUCACUCUCAAUAGCUUCCUCAAAAUUGGAUGGAAUCUCUUCAGUGAUAAUAGGAAGAGCAAAAGCAACAUAAUCACUAUACCGAGCUGGCUUGGUAAUUUGUCUCUUUCCUCUGUUCUUGGCAAUAGACUCUUGAGGUGAAACUUGCUCUCUUCAACUUGAAUAGAAUCUUCAAGUUCAACUUCUUCAACAUCCUCAUGGUCUCCAACUUCUUCACUUGUAGUGGCAUCGACAUCAGCGGAAAUAGGAUUUGAAGUAUCAGAGGCAACUUUCUCAAGCUCCACCUGUUGGACAUCUUUCACAUUCUUCUCAGAGACUUUGUACAUACUUUCUUCAUCAAAUGUCACAUCUCUGCUAAUUACCAGUUUCUUCAUCUCUCUGGACACACCACAACCUGUAACCUUUGACACCACUACUAAAACCAAGAAAAAUAGCCUUUUUGGCUCUAGGAUCAAGUUUUAUUUUCAGUCACAUGAAAAUAAGCAGGUGAACCAAAAAUACGGAUAUAGUCAUAAUCAGAAGAAGGUUUUCCAAUCCAUACCUCCAUUGGUGUCUUACCCUGAACAGCAGCUGAGGGUAACCGGUUGAUGAUGUGACAUGCAUAAUUAACUGCUUCUGCCCAAAAUGACUUGCUUAAACCCGACUGAGACAACAUACAUCUAACCUUCUCAAGCAAGGUUCGAUUCAAUCUUUCUGCAACUCCAUUUUGUUGUGGAGUUCCCCGAACACUGAAAUGUCUCACAAUUCCUUCCUCUUUGCAAACUUUAAAGAAAGAAGGAUCGGAUGUGUAUUCACCACCAUUAUCCGAUCUCAAAAUCUUAAUCUUUCUCCCAGUCUGGUUCUCAACCAUUUUCUUCCAACCCAAGAAAAAUGCUUAACACCUCACUCUUGUGCUUCAUAGUGUAGACCCAAGACCUUCUUGAAUAAUCAUCAACAAAGGUCACGAACCAAUGUCUACCACUCAAAGAGGGAAUCUUUGUAGGACCCCAAACAUCCGAAUGCACAUAAUCAAGAAUGCCCUUCGUCUGAUGUACAGCAGUACCAAACUUCACUCUAGUUUGCUUCCCCAAGACACAAUGCUCACAGAAAUCAAGCUUACAAGUCGUGGCACCUUUUAGAAGACCUUGUUUCACAAGCCCUUGUAGAGCUUUCUCACCGGCAUGGCCUAAUCUCAUAUGCCACAAUCUAGUAGUAUCUGAAUCAGAUGUGCCCAUAUUUUCAGAGACUACAGAUGCUUCACCUGUCACAGUGCUUCCCUGCAAUAAAUACAAAUGGCCACAUCUAGGAGCUUUCAUCACAACAAGUGCACCAUAAGUAACUUUCAAUGUCUGUCCAUCUGAAUGAAACCUGAAGCCCUUGGAUUCCAAAGUACCCAAAGAAAUAAGAUUUUUCUUCAAAUUCGGUACAUACCGAACACAUGUCAACUCUUUAACCAUGCCAUCAUGCAACUUCAAACGAACUGUACCAAUCCCUUUUGUUGUGCAAGGAUUGUCAUCUCCCAUGAACACAACGCCACCAUCAAACUCUUUCAAGCUUGAAACCAAUCCUUGUGAGGAGUCAUAUGAUGAGUACAACCCGUAUCCAACACCCACUUAGUAGCACAAUCAAAUGAUGAAGAAGUGGUUAAAGCAAAAUCAGAAAAAUCUGUUUCAACCUCAGCAACAUUAGCUUCAGAACUUUCUUUGCCUUUGGUCUUCAAUUUAGGACAAUCUUUCUUCCAAUGACCUUUAUUACGACAAAAGGCACAUUCAUCCCUUUCCAAAGGUUUUCUACCUUUAGAGUUUCCUCUAGGUCGAGACUGUGAUUUUUUCCUACUAGAAGAUGAUCUCCUCUCCGAUGAUCUACCUCUAACAAAUAAAGCUUCAGAGGUACUAUCAUGAUUUUUAUCUCUAUGCCUCAUUUCAUAAUUCAUCAAGGCAUUUGACACAUCUUCAAGUUUCACAGUUUCUUUACCAUGCAUAAUAGUGGUAACAAAAUGCUCAUAAGAGUCCGGCAAUGAAUUCAACAAUAUUAAGGCCUUAUCUUCAUCCUUAAUAUCCUCAUCUAAAUUUAACAAGUCGGCAAUCAACUUAUUAAAAGCAUCAAGGUGUCUAAUCAUUUUUGUACCUUCUUUGUAUUGGAAGCGGUAGAGUUUUUUCUUCAAGUGUAGCCGGUUCUCUGCACUCUUCGUCAUAUACUUGUCUUCCAAUUUUUGCCACAACACACUUGCUAAUGUCUCCCGCAUCACAAAAUACUUCUGAGUUUUUGCAAGGCACAACCGAAUUGAAGAGCAAGCCCACAAAUUUAAUUUCUCCCAUUCCAACUUCGACAUAGCUUCCGGCUUCUCUCCCAAAGCGGCAAGUAGAUCUUGUUGAGCCAACACAUCUUUGACCUCACAUUGCCACAUCCCGAAGUUGUUUGUGCCAUCAAACUUUUCCACUUCGAACUUUGCAUUUUGCACCGUAGUUCUUGCAAACCCAGAGGUGCUUCCAAAAGGAUUUUCAUCUUGCCCGUCUGACAUCUUUGGCAACUAGACAGUACCCAAGAGCAACUAGUGCUCUGAUACCAAUUGUUGUGCUAGGAUAGCACCAAACCUUAUGGAACCAACUCAGUCUAACCCACAGGAAAUUUAUCAAAUGAAAAUGCAAGAACAAUAUAUUAAAGACACCAAGAUUUUAACGAGGUUCCUCCACAGUCAGUGUAACUGGAGUACGUCCUCGGAGCAGUAGGAGCUCACCCAAUAAUCCACUAUCAACCAAAUGGGAGUUUACAAAGUGUUGGCAAUCUCACAACCCAAAAGCCCAAUACACCCAAUAGCUCUCACACACCAAAGAAACAAAUAGAGAAAGAAAUAUAAUGAAUAAUUUCUUCUCUAUACAUAUAGCUCAAGGCUAUUACUACAACAAUUACUUUGGUUGAUGAUUACUAAUCAAAUGAAGCAGCAGCUUCUUCUUCUGUUUGGACUCACUGCAACUCUCCCUUGCUCUCUACAAAAAGAGCUCUUGGUUCUCUCUUGUUUUUAUCAAACCGAAAUGAGCUCUCAUUCUUUUCUAUUUGCUUCAAAGGCAACUUGUCCCCAUAUUGAACCAACACCCACGGGUGUUGAAGAGAACAAAAAACCUUUUCCCUAUUUUCCUCCCCAAAACAAGGAAAGGUGUUGUCCACCUUCUUUCUUUAUAAUUUUUUUAUAGCCAAAAGUUGUUUAGAUUUUUGUGUAGCCGAAAGCAUUUGCAAGUUGGCCACUAUCCAACAAGUCCUACAAGUCAACUUCGUGUAACAUACAGUCGGACGCGUCUACCAACCGUACGGGGCCAUUGACACAUCGAGCAUGUACAAAUGUCCUACCGGAGUUUAAGAUUUGCUGAUAAUCUCCACAGUUUAAUGUUAUGAAUACAGUAACUAGGUGUGUUUCAUACUGAGUUUCAGAAGCACCAAAGUUGAGUCGGAAUUUCAAAUUUUCGUAUGUUUCUUGCACGCUUAAAAUUUUAACAUACUGUAAUGAAAAUCGAAUUCUGGUUCUGCACUGGCUAUAUUCAAAUUGAAUAUGAUAAAUAACAUGCGUUGUAAACCAUAAGCAGAAACUAAAAUGUUAAAUACAAAGACAUAAACAAGUUCAUAAAAUCACCAUUUUAUGUGGUGGGAAAUUGCCGAUUUGUUACUUUUCACCCUGCUUCACCAUCUGCACAACUUUGAAACACAGAUACAAUGAUGAAGAGGAGAGGAGUGAUUCUUGAAGGCGGGUUGUGCUUAUAGCAUGCUGUCUGAUCUUGCAGGCAACCUCCUAAAGAAGUUGAGUGGCACUGAAGGAAGUUUGUGGCGUAAUCUGGGAUGCCUUAACACGUAAAUGCCUGCUAGAAGGGCCACAACUUGGAAUGGAGUUACAUAGAGAACAAUGGCGGCAAUCAAACAGAAAGUUACGAACAGGGUUGUGGCUCUAGGGUCUCUCCAACUCAGAAGAGACUGAAACCUUUCCCCUUGAGUUGCCAGAUCACCGACAACAGUCUGAACCCUCCCUGCUAUGCUUCUUAGUCGAUCAUAUCUCAUUCUCACAAUAUCUGAUGGCCGAGAAGUUGGGAAUGUGUCAAACUCUUCAUCUCGUUCGUCAGGAUGAGCAGCAUCAGCAUGAGAUAGCCGUGUGUCCAUGUGAGGAGGGUGCCUCGGCCUCCACCGGUAGUUCCAAAUUCCAAUCAAGAAUAGGUAGAGAAAAAUAGUUGGAAGAAUUAGUUCCGGAUAAAGAACCAAUAUAAUAAAGAGGAUAUGAAUUAAAAUGGUUGUGAGAGGAUUCUUCCAAUUGCAGAUUUGAUCAAGCCAUUUUCCUACUGCAAUCACCCCGCUUAAAACUCCCAUUAUUCGGAAAAAAUUUGCCUUGCUUCUUCUCAUGCUCCACAUAUGUGAAUCAACAUCCAGCAUAUACUCCACAACCUCUUUCCUCAGUGGGGGCUCAGCCCGGUUCAGCCUCAUUGAGACAAUCUGCAUAGCCUGGUGCCUCAAGCUAUCGAGCUGAAUCACAGACAAUGGAUGAAUGUAAUGCAUUUUUGGCAACAAAGGAUGCGAAUACAUAUACAGCAUAUUAAUCAAAGAUGAGCAUGUAAACCUCACUGCCAGCUGAAUUUCACCCAUUUCUUCACCCCAGAUGGAUGUAGGACCAGAAGAGGGUACGAAUGUGUGUAAACCCUGUCAGCUUCAAGUGUAGAUAGCCGAAUUCUCACUUUGCCAAUUCUUGAAUCCUUUCCCCCUUUAUCACCUCCAUGUAUAUGACCAUUGUCAAAAACCCCAAUUGUAAUGACAGUACACGGGUCGAAAACCUCCCAGAUGUACUGCUCAUUCCACUUGGGAUUGAAGCUGUCCACGAUUGUCCUUGUGCGAACCCAUUUCUGCCCGUAUUUUGCUACACAAUAAGCAUCUGUGGUACCUCGGCCAUCUUUUGUUUUCAUUGGCAUCAAACCAACUGCGCUUAUAACCCCUACCUCAAAAAUCCCGAUGCUCGACUUCCACAACUGCUUUGCAGUUGGCCUGAGAUCACUACUGUAGUGUGUUGAUUCAUCCAAGACAUGGUACCCACCAUCCAAGCAAAUCCGUAAAUGAAUCCUGCUGGAAAAUUUGAUCUCCCUCUUCUGUUCCCCAUCUACGAUCAUAUGCUUCUCAAGAUUAAACCACCUCGUGUGCACAGGUUUAUGGUCUAACCUCCUCUGCACAGUCUGUAAAGCAAUCACACACUUACCCAAAAUUUCAUCUUUGCCGGAUCCCACUCUAUCUUCCACAGUAAGAUACAACGGUUCCUCAAAUGGUUCAGCAGCAACAAACAUCAAAUCCUCAUUCCAAAUUGGGUUAAUACUUUUGCUCUGUGAUAUUCUAGUCCUCAAUACCUGAUUUCCACAGAUAACCUUCACAAAAACUUCCGGAUACCUACUCUUGUCAUUAGGUAGCAAGUCCUGAGCUUCAAUAACAUUAACCCUCACAUACCAAAGCUUGGGGGAGAGGUAUACCUUCGAUCGAAUGUUAUUGACACCCUCGGGCCCAACUGUUGCAGCAUCAGAAUGCCACGCAUCAGGAAACGCCUCGUCUGCUUGAGUUCCCAUCCAAACUGCCAACAUCAGCUCCCCCUUGACCUUAACCCCCUUCCUGUCCUCCAACCUAUACCACUGUGGUGCCAGUGGGCUAUCUGGUGGAAAGCGUUUCGGGAUGUCAUUGAGCUCAAACAUAAUCCUGCCCAUGAAAUCAUCUAGCACAACAUCCUUAUCUUUCACCACAACUUCCAAAAAUGAAGCUUGAAGUCGAUCUUUGGAGAAAGCAAACACCUGAUUCCAUUCAGGGUUGGACUUCUUCUCAAAAUGCCUAGUAACUCCCUUAUAGUUUCCAAGUUUCACUUCGACAUAGGGAUCACAACUACCAGUGACAUCUUUUGCAGGCAAAUCCUUUGCUUUCACCACACGAACGUAAAGGUAGUGCAUCUGUUCUACGAGGUCAUAUGUGCAUGAGAGCUUGUCCCCCGUGAUAGAGCCCGCGCCAAUGUUUGGCGACGUCUCUUUCAAAGCAAAAUCUUGAGACUGCGGAGGCUUCUGCAUUUUUCUAGUUUGUGGGAACGGAAAGAGAAGCUACUCCUUAAACACCAAACCAGGGUAAAAAAACAAAUUGAAUUCGAAUGACACAAAUGCUCAGUACAAGUGAAACCUCAAAAGAUUUCCAACACCAACAAUCAAUUCCUUCCUAAAGAUGUAUAAAUUUUCUGUAAAAUGGAACAAAGAUUAUCUCAAAGAUAAAAGAGAUGGCUUUACCAAGAACUUCAAAAGAAAGAAAUCAUGAAGGACUUGUUAACAACCUGCAGAUUCAAAGAGAUCAAGAAAUCAAUAUAUUACUCUUCCAUAAAGUAACCCUCUUUCGGUUUCUUUGAGAAGAAAGUAGAGAGAGAGAGAGAGAGAGAUUCAAAUGUCGCUUCCCUUUUCCAUUUUUGGGAUCACAGAGAAAAUGAAGAAAAAAAACAUCAUUUCGAGUAUUUUCAACUUAGAAAGACACUAAGUUUUCCCUUUUUCAACAUUUAUAUAACUUGAGAACAACCAAUACAUAUAUUCUAUUCAAUCAAUAUAUUUUCUGAGCAACCAAACAUAUUUCACAGUACAAAAACCUAAUCAGAGAGUACUAAAAGAAGAUAAAUGACCAAACUUAGCUUUAUAUUCACAACUCACAGAUCCAGUGCAGAAACCCCAUCAAGUCCAAGACGACAAGUAAGCUCAAAUUUAAAAAAAAAAAACUUGCACAUUAACUUCAACUAAUCACACCUAAAGAAAAAUGGGUUUCAAACAACGACUAAAAAAACCAACUUCAGGAAAACCUUAAAAGUAAGCAAGCAUUGUUCAACUUCACAAGCAAAUUAAAUGACCAACUUAUAAAAAAAUAAAAAAUAAAAAAUAAAAAGCAGAAAAAGGGGAACAAGAAAACCUUACAAGUAAUGCCGACUUAUUAGAGUUAUAAAGUAAAACACUGACCUGAGGUAUCUAAAAGUGCUUUUCUUCAAGGUGCGUCCAUGGAAAAUUUUCGACUUUAAGAAAAUAAAAAAAUGGGAAAAUUCAGUUUUUUGCAAGGGAAGAAAAAAAGGGCAGCUGAAGAGAGUGAAGAGUGUGUGGGGCUGAGAUCUGUGAGAAAGACUGAAUCUUCUCUGUAUAAAGAGCAUCGACAGAAAGAAACCUACUGAGUGCCAACUUUUUCACACCUCCUUAACAAUUUUUUAUGUGUUUUGUUAGUUCUUAUUGUUUUGUUUAAGAGGAGGCAUGUCACACGUGUGAGAGGAUUGUGGUCGGUUUUGGCAUCAUUCCUGAAAAAUAAUGCUCCGCUGUUUAAUGAAGACCAACAAGUUGUGUUGAAAACACAAUUGAAAGUGGAUACGUGUUCAUUUGUUGGUCUUGGAGUAGUGUUUCUCAAAGAUAUGAGACAAUUGUGUGUCUUUUAAUAUGUUUCUUGGUUUGCUCAUUAUAUGUGAUGCUUUGAUAAUGAAAUGCGUAUUUGGUGCACUCUGUAAGAGUUUCUUUAGUAUUUCUCAUAUAAUUAAGCAUUUUAGUGAUAAUUUCGAGAUUUUUACGUAAUAGUGGGAUCAUAAUGAGUUGGGAGUAACCUUGAUGAAAAUUGGAAAAAUAUAUCAUUGAGGGAGGAGAAUUCGAAUCCAAAACUUUUGGGCUCAUUUGUAAGUGUAAAUCUUUUUUUUGGUAAAAAGUGUAAAUCAUUUUAAUCAUAGAGUUACUUGAGCCUCUAGCCCUAGACGAUACCUAUGUUUUUUGUUUUUUAUACAACAAUAUUCUAAUCUAAAAAGGAAAAAGUUAUGUUAGUCACACAAUCGUUGAGCUACCGGCUUAUCAACCCUAUAAAAAAACACCUAUGUUUUUGUAGGCUUAUGUUAGUUUUAUCCUCUAUAACUCGAUUUCGGUCACACUUUACCUCCUAUAACUCAAAAGUCAUUGCUUACUCAAAAUUUACUCCAAAAUAAACGCAAGCACUUAAAUUGAUAUUACAAUACAAAAUGGGUCAGUUUUAGGUACGUCCAUUGAACUCAAAAGUCACCACUUUAUUUGUAUUGUAUGAUAUUUACUCUAAAUAAUUAAGAGCAUGUGUUUAUCACACAAUAGACCAGCAUCGAAGGCGACCAUUACCUAUGUCAAUAUGUUAGAAAAGGACAAGGAUUGUCUGCCUUCCCACUUCCGGUGCCCUUCCGUGCCCUCCUAUUUUGUGUAGUCACGGUUAAGUCACGUCAACAUUUUAU